UACAGAGGUCUCAAGCGUUGUUCGGAUUUAUUGGGCGUAAAGAGCUCGUAGGCGGCUCGUUGCGUCGGCUGUGAAAACCCGCAGCUCAACUGUGGGCCUGCAGCCGAUACGGGCGGGCUAGGAUUCGGUAGGGGAGACUGGAAUUCCUGGUGUAGCGGUGAAAUGCGCAGAUAUCAGGAGGAACACCGGUGGCGAAGGCGGGUCUCUGGGCCGAUAUCGACGCUGAGGAGCGAAAGCGUGGGGAGCGAACAGG
rnacentral:rRNA from 1 species